GACAGAGGUGCCGAGCGUUAGGCGGAAUCACUGGGCUUAAAGCGUGUGUAGGCGGGCGAUCAAGUACCUUGUGAAAUCCCACGGCUCAACCGUGGAACCGCUGGGUAUACUGGUUGUCUUGAGCCGGCUAGGGGCGAGCGGAACAGACGGUGGAGCGGUGAAAUGCGUAGAUAUCGUCUGGAACGCCGAAGGUGAAAACAGCUCGCUGGGGCCGCGCUGACGCUGAGACACGAAAGCCAGGGGAGCGAACAGG
rnacentral:rRNA from 1 species